rnacentral:rRNA from 1 species
GAUGAACGCUGGCGGCGUGCCUAAUACAUGCAAGUCGAGCGAACAGACGAGGAUCUUGCUCCUCUGACGUUAGCGGCGGACGGGUGAGUCACACGUGGAUAACCUACCUAUAAGACUGGGAUAACUUCGGGAAACCGGAGCUAAUACCGGAUAAUAUAUUGAACCGCAUGGUUCAAUAGUGAAAGACGGUUUUGCUGUCACUUAUAGAUGGAUCCGCGCCGCAUUAGCUAGUUGGUAAGGUAACGGCUUACCAAGGCGACGAUGCGUAGCCGACCUGAGAGGGUGAUCGGCCACACUGGAACUGAGACACGGUCCAGACUCCUACGGGAGGCAGCAGUAGGGAAUCUUCCGCAAUGGGCGAAAGCCUGACGGAGCAACGCCGCGUGAGUGAUGAAGGUCUUCGGAUCGUAAAACUCUGUUAUUAGGGAAGAACAAAUGUGUAAGUAACUAUGCACGUCUUGACGGUACCUAAUCAGAAAGCCACGGCUAACUACGUG